rnacentral:lncRNA from 10 species
AGACUUGAUAAUUUACUAGAAUGACUCAUAGAACCCAGGAAAAUGCUACACUUACUAGUAGUUUAUUCUAAAGGAUACAAAUGAACAAGCGAUACAUAGGGGGAGGUCUAGAAGGGUCCUGAGUGCAGGCUUUAUCCCUUUGGAGUUGGGAUGUACCAUCCUUCUAGCACGUGGAUGUGUUCACCGACUUAGAAGCUCCCUAAACCCCAGAGGCAUUAUCGAUGGCCAAGCUUUUCUUUUGUCCCAUAUCGAUGCCAGGGGUGGUGUGGCUGGCUGCCCUGGGUCCAUCACGUUCCUCAGUGGGACCCCUAUGGCCAAGGGAUUUAGAGUCAGAAGACUUACAGCCAAUUCAAUGUUUUAGGCCAAAUGGGAAUGGAGGUGGGCAGGCGCUCAGAAAACUCCUUUAAUUAAGCAACAUAAGAGACCAAAACCAAAAGCCAAAAAACCAGGUUACAAAAUUGACUUGUUUAUAUCGAUAGUGCCUCUGGCAUAUGUUGACCAUAAAAGGAAUAUGAACUAAAAAAAUAAAAUCCUAAGCCUCCCGACAGACUGAAUGGACCCGCUCUUGGCCAAACGGGAUCCCCAAAACCCUGAAAAUCUAUCAGGGUAUGGCAGGAAGUGGGCAUUGGACACACCUCAUUGUGCCCACCCCCCGCCCUUUGGAAUUUAGGCACAAGUGACCACCACUAACAUUAAAAUAGAGAUUAUAAGACCGACAAAACCGACUCUUGUAACAACAAAAUACCAAAUUAUAAACAGGACCUAAGACCAUGCAGGCAGGGGUUAAGUGAUACAUGCCUACACUUAAAGAGUAAGCUGGCCGGGGCAUGAACCCAGGAAGCGGAGCUUGCAGUGACCCGAGAUCGCGCCACUGCACUCCAGCCUGGGUGACAGAGCAAGGCUCCGUCUCAAAAAAAAAAAAAAAAAAAAAAUAGUAAGCUGUGUUCUAGCUGCUACAAGGGUUUUCUUUUUCCCUAACAGUUAGACAAGCACUGGCCUCAAACUCACUGGCCCCCAGCCCCUGUUCCAUCAGCCAUAACUACAGAUUUAAUUAACACGAGACUGACUUUAAUAAUUUUCACCUGAUAGAAGACCACGGACUAUGGGCUAGUUCUAGCUGGUUUACAGAAAUUGCACACUUGCGUGCCUUUCUGCCCUGAAAAGACCUUUUAAUGUAUAGGACCUAAUUGUAAUACGUUUAAAUAUUAAGUCUCCACCACAAAAUAACAUGGGUCAUAUGUUACAUGCAUAUUUGUUGAAUGCACAUGGGUCAGGACCACCUUCAUGAAUAUUCCUAGCCCCUCCUGCAACCUGUUAAAUAUGUAAGUUCAGCCAACAUGUUGUCAUAUUCCCACAGGACCUCCAAGCACGAUUGAUAGGGGAGAAUGUGCACUAUAAUUAAGACUGAGUGGUAUGUGUACAUCCUAGAUAAUUCUGGAAACAAAUCCUCAGCCCUAUGAGACAUGCAUAAGCAAAUUAAUGCUAUGUCUUAUCCCACAAUGUCCUAAGUCAGUGGCUCUCCUCAUGGUUUGGAUCAGGCCCCUCUUGGUGAAAAAAAGUUGCUCAUAAUUUUAGCCAUGAUUAUAGGGCUAGGUUUAUUCUGCUGCUGUAGACUCUAUUGCAGUUACACACUCACCAUGAUGCUCUAGCAGAUCUCUUCCUUAAGCCCAUGGACUCACAAAUAUUUUCCACUCCAAGUGGUGAGGUUCCAUUCCACUGCACCUUAACUGCACCCCGUUUCAGCAGGAAGUACCUAGAUGGAGCACAUCACCCCCUUUCCAUAGAAAUGAAAUGGAACUUGACAGUGGGGAGUUGUAACCAAGAGUGUCAGCUUUAAAAUGUAUUUUAAAGCCUUCCCACUAGCCUUAAAGUGUAUUUAAAAGGUUUUUUUCCUUUUUUUUUCUCUCCUUCCCCCUGGACACUGCCUUAUACCAUGACCUUAUGACCAACUUAUACAUGCUUAUCUAACUGUAUGCUUGCUUAGAAAUUCCAGGGGCUGGCCGGGCGCGGUGACUCACGCCUAUAAUCCUAGCACUUUGGGAGGCCGAGGUGGGCAGAUCACUGGAGAUCAAGACCAUCCUGGCUAACACCGUGAAACCCUGUCUCUACUAAAAAUACAAAAAAAAAAAAAAAUUAGCUGGGCGUGGUGGCGGGCGCCUGUAGUCCCAGCUGCUCUGGAGGCUGAGGCAGGAGAAUGGCAUGAACCCGGGAGGUAGAUCUUGCAGUGAGCCGAGCUGAGAUCGCACCACUGCACUCCAGCCUGGGGGACAGGGCAAAAAAAAAAAAAAAAAGAAAAGAAAUUCCAGGGGCUAAUCUUGAAACAGCCCAGGCCUGGAGACCCAGCUGCAGAUUACCUCAAGGUGGUUAAUCUACAACCUGGUCACAGUCGACAUGGGACCAGCUAGUACUCCAGGUGGACAGUAACUCAAGAUAGCCAUCGGAACAAGACAUGCAGACCUGUACUCUAUACGAUUCCUGCGUGUUUCCCACACCAGGUUUCCCUUUUAUAAACCCCUUCAGUCAGCCUUAAAAUUUGAGUUAUCAUUUUGAGACUCGAGUCCGGACAUGUCCUCAACUGCUAGCAUUUUAUUAAAACUGCUUUCCUUUCAC